CUACAAUAUCUUUUGUAUUUACGGUGCUACAAUGCUAGUAGCUCAUUAGUAGCCAAGUGAACAUUCAAGUGAACUUUAUUUAGCAAAAUUGUAGAUAAUAACUAGUUAUACAAAUGUCCCAUAUAUAACUUUGUCACAUUUUGUUUGGCUGAGACGGUACCAUCAAAUGAAUGUGGAUUGAGUCAAAGUGAUCGUGCCAUCCCUGGUGGGAUGUGUUAUCAUGUUGCGCUUGCCGGUUGAUUGUUAUUACCAAACAACGCUAGUUACGUAGCAACCCAAGUAACAAUUUGGGUUUUAUUAAACUCUUAUGAUAGCUUUUAUAACCAAAAUCGAUCAUGAGUCCAUGAUAAUAGUGAAAUAAAACUCACAUUGUUACUUGGGAACGCAGAUAUGAGAUAAUUGACAUUGGCUGCUGUGUGAUCGCCCAAUACAAUUUACGAAUGCAUUUUCUGACAGAAGCUUUAUACGCGUUCACUAGUAGGUAAGCGAAUAAAAAACAAACAUUCUGUUUACGAACACUAGCCGCUGCAUAUACUACUAGGCAAUGCGUGUAUUAAAGUAUACUACAAAAUUAAACGUUCACUUAAAAAUAGUAUCCAUCGGCUACUAACUAUCAGUCAGUCGUGUGCGAAUCGCGUCGUCGUUAGUUGUUUCCUGUUCAGUACUCAAGCAAGCUUUUCCGGACGAAGAAAAUGGCAUCCACCAAACUACAGCUAAACAAUGGCCAAUCGAUUCCGAUUCUCGGUCUCGGAACGUGGGGCUCUCCCCCGGGAGAAGUAGCACAAGCCGUCAAGGAUGCAAUUGACAUCGGUUAUCGUCAUAUUGACUGUGCAUAUGCUUACCAGAACGAGCACGAAGUAGGCGAAGGUGUCAACGCUAAGAUCAAGGAAGGCGUUGUCAAGCGUGAGGAUAUGUUUAUCACUAGCAAACUGUGGAACACGUUCCACCGACCGGAGCUGGUCGAGGGAGCCUGCCGAACUACGCUGAAAAAUCUCGGUUUGAGCUACGUAGAUCUGUACCUGAUCCAUUGGCCGAUGGGAUACAAGGAAGGCGACCAGCUGUUCCCGACUGAUGAAAACGGGAAACUGAUCUAUUCCGAUAUCGACUUUGUAGAUACGUACAAAGCGAUGGAGAAGCUAGUCGAGCUGGGCUUGGCCAAGAGUAUUGGCAUUUCGAAUUUCAAUUCUAAGCAGGUAGAGCGUAUUCUUUCCAUUGCUAAGAUCAAACCGGUCACAAAUCAGAUCGAGUGCCAUCCCUACCUAGUGCAAACCAAGUUGUCGCCUUUCUGUACUAGCCGGGGCAUUGUCAUUACGGCUUACAGCCCGCUAGGAUCACCGAACCGUCCCUGGGCUAAGCCCGACGAUCCGCAAUUGAUGGAGGAUCCUAAGAUCGUGGCCAUCGCUAAGAAAUACGGUAAAACUUCGGCCCAGAUCCUGAUCCGCUACCAGAUUCAGCGAGGCCAUGUCGUUAUUCCGAAAUCGGUCAACAAAUCUCGCAUCCAGUCCAACUUUGAAGUGUUUGAUUUUGAGCUAACCGAAGAUGAUAUGAAGCUGAUAACGUCGUUCGACUGCAACGGACGUCUGGUGCCUCUUUCGAACUCUGAGACAAGUCCACACUACCCGUUUCAUGAAGAUUUCUAAAACCGUAUUGAAGAGAAGAAGACAACCUCCAUGGAGCUCUACGAAGCACGUGAAUAUUGAUUGUUGUACCACUGAUUUGUUACUUGAAUCCAAGCUCGCUUAUUUUCCCUGCUGCUGGUCAUCCUUACCAUCCGUUCGAAAAUGACGAGUUUUAAAUAUUGGCCCGGACAUGAUUGAAGAAAUCACACUAAACCGUACUCACACACGCACAAACACACAAUUGAUAGUGAAACCGUGCGUGCACCCAACUGAAUUACUGAAGUAUGAACUGAUAUGCUUUAAAUAAAUGUUAAAUUACUUUUUGGAAAGAAGAUAGUUAGGAUAAUGGUAUUGAUUCAUUUAGCUUUAAGUCUAAGAAUUGUUCAUUUCUCGGAUCAGAAAUGUCGAGUUUACAUACUUUUUGUUCUUUUAUAAAUGUCGAAUUCCC